UCUAAAAAUAAAUAUAAUGAUGAUAGAUAAAUAUAGUAUGAUAAUCAAAAAAUGUUUAGUAUAGAAAAUUAGGUAAGAUAGAUUUUUAACUUCUUUUUAAAAGGUUGAAAAAAAAUUUCCAAAAUAACAAUUUUUAAUUUAAUUUUGUAGAACCGUAUCUACAUUAACUUGGAUGCAAUACAAUUACAUUUUAAGGUGAAACACGCUUUUCAAGGAAUUAUAAAUUAAAAACUUAAAUGCUGCACAUCAGUUCAAGUGGCACAGCAGUUAGUUCAUCCCAGGAAAUGUAGCAACCGGAUCGGCAUUGAUGUGCAGAUUUCGUUACGCAAUUCAUUACGUAAAUUACGACAAUGUAUAUUGCACGUAUUCAGAGAGGGACAUGUACAUGUUACUUGUACUUCAACUCUUAAGUAGUACCAUUAAUUAUAUUUGAGUAAUGCUAAAGUUGGAGAAUCUUGUUUCAUUAUUUCAUCUUUCACAAGAGUAUUCAAAUGUAUCGUUGCAUAAAGAUAAUACUAGAUAUGUACAUGUAUGCAUAUAUUGUAACAAAGGGUUUCGACCGAAGGAACGAAUUUGAGUCAGUGAACUGAUUGGCCGAGCGAGGAAAUGAGCAUAAUAUUUACGCGUGACUAACCUUGGUGGUAGAGGUAGUGUUCGCUCCUUCAGGAAUCUUGUUCCAAUUCACAACACCUUGCUCGGGAAUACGUGACAAAAUGCCA